rnacentral:snRNA from 1 species
GUGCUCAUUUAGGCAGCACAUGUACCAAAAUUGGAAUGAUGCAGACAGGAUGAUCAUGGUUUUUGCAGAAGAAUGACAUGCAAAUUUGUGAAGGAUUUCAUUAAAAA